rnacentral:rRNA from 1 species
AUGGCGUCUUCAUUCUCUGCGGCGCCUUCCCUCUUUUCCAACCAAGUUUCCAAAAAACUCACCAGAGAGAACUUCCUCCUAUGGAAGGCACAAGUCCUUCCUCAAAUUCGUGGCCCUGGCCUUUAUGGCUACCUUGAUGGCAGCAAGCCUGCUCCCGAGCCUACCAUCUCCUCCACCGACAAAGAUGGAAAAACGGUUUGUGCCGAAUCCUCUCCACACCGCAUGGGUAGGGAUCGAUCAGUAGAUCCUUUCCUAUCUUCUCAAUUCCCUCUCAAAGGAGGUUCUCAUCCAUGUCCUUCAUCUCGAGACCUCUGA